rnacentral:rRNA from 1 species
ACAGAUGGUGCUAGCGUUGUUCGGAAUCAUUGGGCGUAAAGGGCGUGUAGGCGGCUUGUUAAGUCAUGUGUGAAAUCCCUCGGCUCAACCGGGGAACGACGCAUGAAACUGGCAAGCUAGAGUACCAAAGAGGGGGGUGGAAUUCCCGGUGUAGCGGUGAAAUGCGUAGAUAUCUGGAGGAACACCGGUGGCGAAGGCGGCAUCCUGGACCGGUAUUGACGCUGAGGCGCGAAAGCCAGGGGAGCAAACGGGA